rnacentral:rRNA from 1 species
AAUCAACGCUGGCGGCGUGCCUCAGACAUGCAAGUCGAACGCGAAAGGCCCCUUCGGGGGCCGAGUAGAGUGGCGUCCGGGUGAGUAACACGUGGGUAAUCUACCUUCGGGUGGGGAAUAACGACCGGAAACGGUCGCUAAUACCGCAUAAUGCAGCGGCACCUAAUGGUGACAGUUGUUAAAGCGGGGGAUCGCAAGACCUCGCGCCUGAAGAGGAGCCCGCGGCGGAUUAGCUAGUGGCAGGGUAACGGCCUACCAAGGCGACGAUCCGUAGCCGGCCUGAGAGGGCGGUCGGCCACACUGGCACUGACACACGGGCCAGACUCCUACGGGAGGCAGCAGUCGGGAAUUUGGGCAAUGGGCGAAAGCCUGACCCAGCAACGCCGCGUGAAGGAUGAAGCUUUUCGGAGU